CGUGGAAAACCGAUUGAUUUCAAAACCCGCGGUGCUACAAAAAGUUCAAUGAAAUUUUUUCUUGAAACAGUGAUAUGGUAGGGCGGUUGGUUCAUUUUGAUUCCUCCGAGCUGCAAGCUCUUCUCAAAUGCUGCCUAGAUGCCAAUGUGGAAACCGUUCGUCAGUCUGGGAAGCCUUGGGCUUUCCUAUUCUGCAUGGUUCAAAAACGGAUGGCCCAAAAUGUGAUCUUUCCACCGCGAACACCAGCAAGCUACCGCAAUAAGUAUUUAGCAGCACAUAAAAGUUUUAAAAAAGGAAAACUAAACUCACCGGAAGCUCACAGUCUUUGGGGUCAUGAUGUAGAACCAGCACAAAUAACUGGAGAAUUGGAAUUCAUUGAAAUACCGGAAACAAGUGUCCACGGAUUUAAUGUAAAACGUGAGCAUUGUGUAGAAGAUAACGUCAUAUCCGGGACUAAAACUGAAGCAAUCCAAAACCAGGAACCGUUUGGAACAGAGUUGCUUAACGAAGAUCCUCCAAUUCAGGAAUCCGAAAAAAAUUGUAGCAUCUGUAAGACUUCAAAUACAAGAGGGAUGAAGCCUUUAUUAACACAGAGUGCCAAUGGAAAUACUUAUUGGGACAUUAUCCAGGAUUGUUUGAAUAUCAAGAUAUUCUGCGACGGUGAUGUAAAACUAGCCAUUUGUGAAAAAUGUUCAUCCUUCAUAGAAGAGCUUUUCGAUUUCGUGGAAAAAUGUCGAAAAAAUUUAAUGGAAAUAAGUGUAGAGGUCUUAGAUAGUUACGCGAAUAAAAACGAUUGCGCUCAUAUUGACGAAAUAAUGAACGAUACUUUCCUUGGAUUUGACGAAGGCGAACAAGAAUCCUUUCUGGUGAAAGACGAAAUGAUACUUAAUGAUAUCGAUCUCGAAAAUCUUGCUAAAGCUUCGGUUGAAGUCUCGUCUGAACAACUGGUAACCGUAAAAAAUAAUGGAAAGCGUAAGCGUGGAAUAAAUAUAAAAUCUGAAGAAAGACAACUCUUGCUGAAGAAUUGCAUUGAUUUGAAAGUUGAAAAGAUACGGGUUUCCGGUAAAGGUCGAUGGUUACAAUUACUGGGAAAGGUGCGGGAAAGAAUGAUUGAAGGAGGGUUUCCGGUGCGAUCAGUUAAAUCUCUUCAAAUAUGGUAUAAAAAUGCACACAAAGCUUUCAACGCUGGUAAGUUAGCAGAGCCAGAAGCUAAAGAAUUAUGGGGAACACAUAUUACUGAUGACGAAUCGGAUUGUGAAGAAGAUAAGAAAAACGAUGCAGCAUCCGAAACUAUCAAUCAACCAAAACAAAACACUGAAAAGGAGUUUUCUGACAAAGUUCUAGAAUGUGAAAACAUAAGCAAUGAUACAGAAAUUCUAGAAGAGGAUUCAAAAGAAUCCGAAACGAAUAACUAUGAAUGGACAGAUGGGCCGUUGAAUAUUGAAUUCACAAAAAAGCAGAUCCGCGAGCAGACACGUCUGUUCAGGGCGGAUGUCGCAAAACUUCCCCGACAGUGUGAUGUUUGUGGGGUCGUAAUUCGAGGAGGUGAUUUCGUAGCGCAUAUGCAGAUCCAUUCUGCAGAAGAAUUUACCUGCACAUUUUGUGACCGUGUUUUCGCCAACAUAAGAUACCUGAGACGACAUGAAAAUAUUCACACUAAAAAACGACAAUACAGUUGUAAAUAUUGCGAACGAGUAUUCCACAGCUGGACCACUUGGAAGGAUCAUGAGAUUCUGCAUAUUCAAAAGGGCAAACAUAAAUGUUCUGAAUGUGGUAACGAGUACGCAAGGAAAGCCCGACUUACAGAUCAUUAUAGGUCUAAACAUCUUGGAUUGUGUAAAUACCGCUGUAAGCAGUGUGACUUCGUUACACACGUCAAGAAGCGUUUGUUCCUUCAUGUCCGUUGCAAGCACACUGACCUUCGACCGUUUGGCUGUCCAUUCUGUGAAAAUAAAACAAACAACGAGUCCAACAAUCACAGCCAUUUUCAACGACACAAAAGGAAUGGCGAGGCUAGCGUCUAUCAAAUCAAGUGUGCUUAUUGUAGCGAACUUUUUGUCAAAGACGCAGCAUUCGAGAUACAUUUGGUAAAACGUCACCCGGAUAAAUCUGUUGAGUUGUGAGUGGGUGACGGUUAGCAAUAAUAAGGGAAAAAUGUGAACACUUGUUAUUCUCAAUAUGCAUCCGAAGUCAUACCUGAGUUCUGAAAUUGAUGUUGGAAAUCGCGAAAAAUAUGGUCAUAACAAGGUUUCGGAGCUCGUAACAUAUAGGUAUUUUGCAUACAAAUAUUGCACUCAUGGGUGAUACAGUGUAAGCGUGUAACUGUGUUAUUUUGUAUUGUUUUUCUUGAA